AUGCAAGUCGAGGGGCGAGCGAGUUGUAGCAAUACAAGUGUCGGCGACCGGCGGAAGGGUGCGUAACGCGUGAGCAACAUGCCCGUAGUCUGGGGGAUAGGAGAUGGAAAACGUCUUAUAAUACCCCAUAACAACAGAGAUUGCAUGAUCUUUGUUGAAAGAUUCAUUGGAUACGGAUUGGCUCGCGUGACAUUAGCUAGUCGGCGGGGUAACGGCCCACCGAGGCGACGAUGUCUAGGGGUUCUGAGAGGAAGGUCCCCCACACUGGAACUGAGACACGGUCCAGACUCCUACGGGAGGCAGCAGUGAGGAAUAUUGGUCAAUGGGCGGAAGCCUGAACCAGCCAUGCCGCGUGCAGGAAUAAGGCCCUAUGGGUCGUAAACUGCUUUUGACGGGGAGCAAUAAGGGUCUCGCGAGGCCCGAUGAGAGUACUCGUCGAAUAAGCAUCGGCUAACUCCGUGCC
rnacentral:rRNA from 1 species